GGAGGGUCUGUGGUUGAAUGUUUAAAUGCAGUUUGCCGACAUCUUGGUGCAGAACACCAAAGAGGAAGUGAAUCUGUGAAACGGGAGUCGUUGUGGGCGGCGCGUUUAGUGCCUCAUUGAUAAAUGUUGGGCUGCAGCAUGUUGACCAAUGCUGCCCAUCCUGCUCUGCUGCAUUGUUACCUGCACAGGUGAACUGCAGACACAAACACAUGACCUGUGGCCUCUUUGUGUCUCUGUCACGGUGACGCUUCACGCUCUGGUUCAUCAGAGACAGUUUCGCACUAAUCGUCAACAGGAAGCGCCAAACAUGGACUGAACCUGAGAGCGUGGACGCUGUCGUCAUUUUUAUAAUGAUGAUAAAAACAAGUGAAAUUGAUGUCACAGAGAAAAACUGACCUUUUUUAGUCUAACGUGACGGGUGAGGCUUUCAGCUGCUCAGUGAUGUCAUCAGGACUAAAGGUCUGUUUGAGAUUACCUGAAACACACAGAGCUUUAUGAACACAAGGUGAGUGAAGAAGAAACCCGCAGUGCAUCAUGGGAACCCCCGGCAGCCUCUCUCGGGUCAAGCAUCUCCGAGACAAAGUUAAUGAUCGGCUCUCUUGUUUGUUUCCUUGUAAGUGUGACACCAUGCCCUACCUGGAAUCCACCUGUGCAGGUAUUUCACAGGCUGUUUGUUCUCCGAGAGGUUGAACCGGUUGGGCUGGUUCACCUGAGAGGAGGCGGAGCCCUCAUCUGUUUGUUUGAAGGUCAGCUGAAGCCAUGACAGAGCCUCCACUGUGGUUCGCAGAUGUGGGACCUCCUUGUACGUACUGAUGUGGAUCCAUCGCUCCAUCAGACCUGCUGCUCUGAUCUUCAGUCCAGUUCUCGUGUCGUUUUCAGACCUCAGUCUUUCCUCCUGUGUCCCUUCAUUUAGAACGAUGUCCUGACAGCCGUCCUUCACUGAGACCUGUCUGAUGAGGCUUCAGUGGAUACUAGGGCUACGUCCACACUGAUGCGUUUUCAUUUGAAAACGCAUCGUUUUCCCUCCGUUUUGGCCUCCCGUCCACACUGAGACGGCGCUUUCCUCAAGGAAAAACGCAGCGUUUUGAAAACGCUCUCGAAAACACAUACAUUUCGAAACACAGCUGUCCCGUCGCAGUGUGGACGCUCGAAAACGCAGACUUUCUAAAACGAUGAUGUAUUUUAGUCAUGUGAUGCAGUCAUGUGACCAAAUAAACAAAGAUAGCGGAGGGCAUUAUACAGCAGUUGUUUUGAUAGCUCUCAAUUUUGACAGCCCUAAAAAAGAUUAAUAUCAGUCUGUACAUGCUGCAGAUAGCUUUUCUUCAAAUUCUUUAAUUAUCACUCGCUUUUGCGCAUGCGCAAGACUGGAAGGUAAGCGCUUUCAUCCGUUUCAAUGGACACGCAACUCUGUGAAAACGACAGAAAACGCUAGUGUGGCCGAGCGUUUUUAGACGAAAACGCCGUUUACAAAUCUAUCCGGGCUAGUGUGGGCAUAGCCUAGAUGAUGGUUAUUAGUAGAUGAUGCUACUUUGAGUGUUAGUUUGACACUUUUUAAGUUCUUACUGUGAGGAGGGCAUGUGACAAGCGUCUGACUCCAGAGUCUGAGGCUCGUCAGGGAAGGUAUAUUUACCAAACUAACAAGUGUUAAAACUCUCUCAUGUUAGUAUUGUUUAGUUUUCCACGGUGACUAACCUUGUUAGUUUUCUUUUUUUUCCAAACAUCUAGUUUUCUUAUUUUUAUUUCAGUGAGCUAUGACGACCUUGACAAAGAGCCUAAAGACAGUUUAAAACUGGUUCUUUGCUCAGGUGUCUGUUAUGAGCAGAGACAAGACUGGCUCAUCUUUGCAUCAGGAGCCUGAGGUCAGAGUUCAGAGGUCAACAAACAAACUCACUCCUUCAGGAAGCUGGAGAUCUGUUGCUCAAGAGCACUUUGGAAAUUACAGGAAACUCAGUGUUUGAA